GGCGGGGCGGGGGGCGCCGCGGUGAGGUGGGGGGCGCGGGCGUGCGGGACGGCGGGGUGCCGCGGCGGCUGCGGGGGGCGGCGGGUGCCCGUGUCCGUGGACGCCGCUAGUGGGGCGGCGCCCGGCGCCCACCUGAGCAGCCGCAGCCGGGCUGGGAGGGUGGCGGGGUCCCGGGGGGGAUCCCCGUGGUGGGGGGUCCCCGCGGCCGUGGGUGCCUUCCCGUCCGAGGGUGGCCGGCGCUGGCAGCGCCGUGGCAGGGCGCUGAGAGGGUUACCUGGACGCGUGCUUCGGGACGCGGGCAGCCUCGCCCGCCCUUGGGGUUUUAUUUAUUUCUUAUUAAUUAUUAUUUCUUUUUUAAGAGGAACUUGUUCUUGGAAAAUCGCAUUUAAUUUCGGUUUCUAUUCCAGUUUGAGAUUUCUGGUCGAGGCUGCGAUUACUGUUGACGUAGGGUAGUGCAGGGGCGCAGGUACCCGGGCGGCCGUGGUCACCCCUGCGCUCGCAGGGGCGUGCUGAAAUGAGUGAGUUUCUGCCCGUUAAUCACUUGAGAGCGUUUUUCCAGACAGAGACGUAGCGGGAGCAUUCGGGCGGCUGCUUCCAGGGAUGAUAUGAGCAAUUCUUAACUGGAAGAAGGGGGAGUGCAUGCUCACGCAAAAGCUCCCCCCCCCCCCCCCCCCCCGCCCCGAUCUUGCGCUCCGAAACUUCGUUAUUCAGUGAAAGCCCUGCUCUGAACACCGGAAAGCUUUGCUAUUUUCCAGGAAGGCUCGAAUUUUCUGUUUUGUCAUAUUUUCAGGAAAGGAUUAAUGUGAGGGCUCUGGGUACUGUGUGUUCAGAUCUUCUUUUGAUGUAAAUGGUUAAUUCGGCAGAAUCUGUGGCACAUUGCUCAAAGUGCAGUAAGUCUGGAAUAAAUCGAGUGUUUUUCGUUGCAUAAAAAAGUUCAAGAUCACUUUCAGUUCGACGAGAUGCUCUUCCAAAUACUAGCACUUUUUUUUGGUACACGUUCCUUUGCAACCUGUGUAAGGUAACUAAGCUGAGCACGGAAAUUAUCUCUCUGUAAAACCAUGUUCGUUUUUUCAGAUGGAAGAACAAAUCAAAUUAGGUCUUGUAUUUACCAAGCAAUUAAGUGCAGAUUAUUUUGUUACCACUUCAGAAGUCACCUCACUCUGUCAAUGUUACGAUGUAUCCAAUAAGCAACAAGGAUAACGUAAAAAUCUGGAAAGCCCGUAUCUGUCUUUGAGAGUUUUAAGUGUUCUCUCAGGUUAAAUUGAUUUGGGAUUUUUUUUUUUCCCCUUCCUUCCUGAAAUUUAUUAAUGAGAAAAUUACAAAUAACUCAGUUUGAGUAUCUUAAUGCACCUUUUACAAAGGGGAAUGCUUUACAAUGGUUGGGGGGGGGGGGGGGAAGUAAGCUGAAACAUUGUGAUAAUAGGAUUUGCAGUGUAAAAUAUGGCUAAUUUCUCUUGUAUGACUACAGGUGGCAGUGUAGAAGCCUAGAACAAAAAUUGGCAGAAAUUAUAUUCUGUGUACGAGAAAAUGAAGAGUGUACUCAUGACUAAGCACAGGAACCUGGAAAACCACAGGAUUCCUGGGAAGCCAUGGAGGAUGGGACAAACUCAGAAAUGGAGCUUGAGGAUAUUUUAGAACUGAUGAGUGGGAAGUUAUCCUGUCUAAGAAGGCUUUUUGUCUAAACCUUUAAAUUGCUUCUGAGAGAACAUGGUUAUACCACAAAUGUCCACAGACGACUAAGUCACCUUGUAUCAACUACACUGCGGUAACUGGCUUUGGGCACAGUUUUAGUUAUCCCCAGUUGCAAAAUAAGUUGCAGGCAGAAUGAUAUACUUCACUGUUAGAAUGGGCUAAGAGCGUACAUCCCAUUAGGUGUAGCCAAUAAACUGCUAAAUUACAGUAGCUUGGCAUCUUGAGAUUCUGGAAUCCAAAUAAAAAUGUUUGGUUUUAUUUUUUUAUUCACUGUUUUGAGAAAAAAAAAAAACAACCCAUCAGGGAAACUAUACUUCGGGUAUAGCUUUGUGGGCACCCAAGCUCUGAAGGUGUAAGAUCUCUGUAGAGAGGCUGUAUCUCUGUGGGUGAAUAGUAAGACCCUGAUCUCUGAGUGGGAUUUGUGGGUGCCACCAUAAUGCACCCUUCAAAAUACAGUGUGCCUUGGAUAGAGUACCCUGAAGACAUACUGCUGUUCUUAACCUCAAUUAAAAAAAAAAAAAAAAGUGAAUAAAUAUAGGUCUUCAGGGCUGUUCUGCAGGGGAGAGCUGCUCUUAACCAUUUUUGCCUGGCCAUCAUGUUGUUGCUUGUCACCUGUCACUUCUGAGUGGAGACAUACUCAGGUGUUGGUGGGGAGAAAAAAAGCAUCAGCAGUAAUUUUUAUACAGCUCUGUAGGGUUUUUUUUGUUAUCUCUUACUGAGCAAAACCGUUAAGUAUACUUUCAAAACCUACAUUAAUAGACCUGAUAAAGUCAAUUGAACUGUAUGUAGUACCGGACAGCAUAUGCUUAUGGCUUUGAACAUUGUUGAGUUCAUUAGUUUGUGCUAACAUAUUUAGAACAGAAAAUGAAAAUGUCAUUUGUCAUUGGUACAAAAUUUUAAUGGGGUCUUCCAUUACAUCAAGUGUUCAAAAUAUUACAUAAAAGAAAACUGGGAACUAAGCAGCGCAAUGCUCAAGAGUUCAAUUUACAGCCACUUCUCUGUGCUAAUUAUGAAGUAUUGACAUAAAUGAAUGAAACUACUUGUUAAAGCACCUUUUGCAGUGUAUAGCAGUUAUGAGUUCACAAGAUGAUUCAUAACAUUCAGCAAUUUGUGAUGAGUUUCCCUGCCAUUACUGGAGAUUACUAAGUAUCUAAUGUAUUUGCACUACACUGGGUUACUUUAAAUUAUAUUUGAUGGUGGAAAGGGAAGGAAAACCAUUUUCUAUCAACUGAAAAAUCAGGCCUGUUGUAUGAAUCAGUCAGUAUUGAAUUUCUCUUUCCUGUACAGUACAACUUAUCCUUUACAAUAAAAUACAAAUGUUUAAUCAUCUUGCCUAUAAAUACAGCAGUGACAGUGUGUGUGUGGGAAACCCUCAAGACUUCUUUUGUGUUGAAAGCUGUGUACAUUAGAACUAAUAAAAUACAGCAGACUUGCUGUAACUGAAAGUAGAAUUCAUAGUAAGAAAUCUAAAUAUGGAAUCUAAAUGUGUAAGGUCCCAUUCUAAAUCAGCAAGUCUUGGUUAUAUAAAAUGCUGUUUGAUUUGAUGCAGGAUGUAUUUGUAUGUACAGCUCCCAUUUCCAGUGCAACAGAUGCUGCAUCUUAGAAAACUGUCUUGAGCUUCUGCUCUGAACUGAAAGUUGUGGCUGGUUACAUGUUCUGUUGUCUUAAGAAAACUGUGUUUAAGGGCUUGUACAAUCAGUCAUUUCACAGUAUCAUAAAGAUGGCUGUAAUCUGUUAGAUGAUAAAGUGUGAUUGCCUGGCAGUUAUGGGAAAUGUCUGUUAAUGAUACCAAGGUUUUACACAAGAAAAAUUCAACUUUCUCACUCUUUGAUACUUGUGUAGGAUUGUCUUGACAAUGGUUUGCAGGAACGUGGAGAAAGGUACUAGGCUGAUGGAUUAAUGAUGCUAAAUUGAGGAUAAAGAAGCUACUUAAAAAAAAUAUUUAUUUUGUGAAACCUUAAUAGGCACCAACCAGUCCAGUAUCAAAGGCAGAUUUUUAGAAAACCAAUAGAUCAUCUAUCAGGAGGAUGAGGAUGGUCUGAAUCAAAGUCUCGGGGAGGUGAGGCACAAAGUGAAAACUUCAGAUGGCAUACACUGAUUGUAAGCCUAAAACACAAGCAGUGUGUCUAAGGCCAUUUAGCUUAGACACUUUGGCUUCUCAAGCGAAAUGUUGAUAUCAGGUCUCCAGUUACAAGAGACUGGCUUUUUCUUAAUCUCAGCAGUAUUAGUACAGCUGUUAAACCAACCUGAUAGUUAUGACAUUGCAAGGUGCCCAUUUUAGAUUACUACAACUGAAGUGGACUCUUGUGAAAGUCAACAUGGUAAGCAUAUGUGUAAGGAAAGUAUCCUUAUUUAGCAAAUGUGUGAAGCAAACCUCUAGGCAGGUAGUCUCGUGCUAUCUUUGGGCAGGCUGACACUGGCUUCUUUGAGAAGUAAGUCCUAAUGUAGGAGGACAUCAAACUUGUGAAGGAGAAAUUGUCCUGAAAUUACAUUAUGUAAGUGAGACCUUGCUCUCAGGUGAUGGCCAAGUGUCUUUUUGCACUAAAAAUGCCAUUAUGUAAUGUUGGUUCUAGAUGAUAGACAUCUUCUGCCAUGGUGGAGUCACACUCCACUUAAUUGAGUGCAACUGACUGGAUUUAUGAUGCUGGAGGGGAGCAUACGGUAACCUUCCAACUACAUGCCAAGGUGGCUUUCAACAAAAGGAGUCUAGACUGUCUUUUUUAGUGCUGGAGAAGCUGGUGGAGAAGUGCUGGUGACAUAGAACAGCUACCAAAAUAGUGCUGGAAGCAACAUCUGAGUUGCUAGAUAGGUUAAGAAUGAAGACCUCCGCAGUGUCAGUCUGCACUAUAACCUCAAUACCGUGCUUGUGGGCAAGCAGAAAGGGUACACAGGUCAAGAUGACACAGCCUCUGGAGUUGAAGUCCUUAAUAUUGCUGUGCAUAGGACAGAAGUUGAUGAAGGUCAUGUAGAAAACAGUGAAGAACUGCCUGAAAAAUUAGGUCCAAUUUAGGCAGGAGCACAGAAGAAUAGGCCGUCAGACCAAAACAGAAGUAUUUCGAUGCAAAUACUAGAAGACUAGAAGAUAAGAUGGAGGGACUCAAUGCCUAGUUCUAAAGUAAGUUAUCAACAGUAUAGAUCUACCAUAGGGAAAGUAGCUAGCAGGACACUCAUUAGUGUUUCUAUGGAAAUCCUGGUAAGAGGAACAGUCAAAAGCGUAAAAUGCUUGCAGCCAGCGAGGAGGGGCUCAGAACAAAUGCAUACCCCCUAACAACUGCUUCUCUGACACUUUAAAAAGACUUUAAGAAGUAAUUAGCAUGGUUGAGCAGGCUGUAAGGAAUGGAGAGAGAUCCUUCAAAAACUUAUGUCUGAAAAAAAGGUGAAAAUCAGGCAAAUUAAACAUAAAAUGUGGUGAAACAAGUUAAAGCCUGAUAUGUGAUUUGUAAAAGGCAGAGAAUCUUGUCGCAAGUGCUCUUUCAAAAACAUCAGAAAAGGGAAGGCUGUUGGGCCAAUCGAUAACUAAGAUUUAAAAGGGCUCAAAGAAGAUUGCACUGUAACUGAAAGAGUAUGAGAUACUUGUGUUCACUGUGCUCAGAUUCCUGAACAAAAUCUCUUCUCUGUGGGGAGAGAAGCACAAGGUCCUUUUGAGGCACCUGUUCCAAAUCCAAGUGAUGCUGGCACAGUUUAUUUUUAAGAAAAAAAAUAUAAAAAUGAGUUGCAGCAAAUUGCCAGCCCUGGAUGCACCCAAGACCUGUAGAAGACCUCUUACUAUAAAAUUACUCAACUGGCAAUGGUGGUGUAUAACAGCACAAUACUGCUGUGGUAGCAGUGAAGUUGAGGGUGCCAAUGGUGAUGACAGUUUUUAAAAAGUCUUCCAGAAAGCCUAUAGGAAAGAAUGGGACAAGUAUGACUGGCAUUCAUACCAGCCAAUUUGUUGGUAAAUGUAGUAAAGAAGAAAACUAAUGGAUUAAUGGGCAAAUUUGAUACACCAGGGAAGAGUCAGAAUGGCCUCACAGGUCUGGUACAGUUCUUUGAAGAAACUGUUGAGGUUGUAAGUGUGAUCUAGUUGAUGCAGUACACUUGGGUUUCAGAAAGUCUUUUGAGAACUUCUCACCAAAGGUGCUGAGCAAAAUGAAACUGCUCUGACAUAAGAGGAAAGUCCUAUCCUAGACUGAUAGUUGGUUAAAAGACGGGGUAGGAAUAAAUGACCUGUUUUCACAGAGGGGACUGAGGACACUGCUAGAGUGGCACAUGGAUCUGUGCUAGGUUUAACACUAGUCAGUGUAUGUAUUGGUGGUCUGGAAGAGUGACUGCAGAGUGAUUCUAAGUUAAUGAGGGCGGCAAAAAUGAAAGCCAAUUUUGAAGAGCCAAAGAGAGAUCUUGUGAUGCUUAGUAACUGUGGAUGAAGCUUGCUGCUGGUACUAUGAAGUAAUGUAUGCAGGGGAGAACAAUCCUGCUGUUAUUGAGACUGUAAACCAUUAGCACCAAGUAUGUUGUAGAGAGCUUACCGUGGUAAAUCCAAGCAUUUCUGAAGUGUUUAGGACUGGACAAAAUAAAAAAUUAGGGAAGAAUGGCCAACAGAAGUCUGCUAUGCCAGUCUAUAAACCUCCUGUGCUUUUGUCUGGGCCUCUGGGUGCAGUUCUGAUCCCCAUGUUUAACAGAAGUUGAGAGGGGAAAAAAGGAGAGAUGAUAGAACUAGAAAUGGGUAGCAGUGAUGAUAAAGAGCAAUUAAAUAGAUCCAACCUGGCAAAGAAAUAGCUAAAGACGAAAAUUAUAAAAAUCUAUAUAGGAGUGUAAUGGAAAAAAAUGAACAGGGAAUGCUCAUUAACUGUCUCUUGUAGUACAAGACCCAGAGGGGAUCAAAUAAAAUUACCAAGUGACAGAUUCAGAACAAGUAAGAGGUUGCAUUUUUUUCAUAGUGCGUAGUUUAACUGUGAGCCUCUGUAUGUACUAAAUGUUUAUCUGGGUGUGGGCUUUCAGUGCAAAAGCAUCACCUCUUGCUUAGAAGACCACAAAGCCUGGUCCCUGAAGGCUGGGGAGGGAUCCUGAGGUACACCCCUGCAAGCUUUCCUUGUCCUAGUGCUCUUCUGCAGACCUCUGCUCUCAGCCUUUGCUAAAGAGACAAUACGGGGAUAGAUGUAUCUUUGGUCUGACUGAAGAUGGCUAUUAGUAUGUAAAAUGAAGACGAAUUGCAGCCCCCUAAAAAAAAUGCUGACCAUAUGCCACUCCAGAUGCAUAACAGAAUUAUUGGUGAAGAGAAAGUGUUGAGAAGGACAAAUUUUUUUUCUUGGGCCUAAUAACUUCCCAAAGGGGGGAGGGGGUGAAAUCAGUUUUCUUCUAAAACUGUACCAGUCCUCAUUAUACCACAUUGAUAUGUGAAGUUUAGUGCCUAUAUAAGGGAGUUGAGAUUCUUUGUUCUGAGGUGUCAGUGCCCAGCUUUAAUUCUGUGCUUGCUCAAAGUCGGGCAUCUGUUAUUCCUUGCAGCUUACCUUCAGAUGGACUGAAUUAAAAACCUAAAUGCAAAAAUAAACUGGAAAAGUUGGGGACAGGCUUACCUAUAUAAUGAAAUGCUUACCUGUAUAAUGAAAAAUGCAGUUUUUGAGUCAUGAACAUGGAAGAUGAAAUCUCUUUUCCUAUAAAUAUGGUGAGAUUACAACUAGGCUCUUUCCUUAUCGAAACGUACAAGGACUAAAGCUGUAUUAGGCUUGGACUGAAUAAGGACUUGGCGAAAAUAGGUUUUUAAGAAUAAAGGAUGACUUGACUGUUAGACAUGAAAAUGGCAUUUAAAUAUUAAAAGGAUGUAGAAGUUAUGAAACAAGAAUUACGUAGCCAUCCAAUCCAGUAACAAAUGAAAUUAAAUGAGAGUGUCCCAGUGGUAAGGCCUAUGAGCUUGUGUGAAUACAACUGGCUGUGAGGUAUAGAAUCAGCGCAAACAACACCCUAUAUGGAGUUAGAGGAAUGGAUGUUGGCAUAUAUACAAAGGUUAACUCUAACUCAGGAAAAUUACUCUUCUUGGGUUCCUAUGGUCAGUAACAAUAAAUCAGCUUCUCCAGUGGGUGAUAUGGAGAACCCCAAGCUGGUUUCUGCUCUGAAUUCUUCUCUAGAGGAGGCCUUCUCUGUCCACACUAGCUACAGACAGACAAGGGAGACAAAAGAUGACUGGCCUCCCUAAAUUAAAGUUGGCCUUUGAAUAUACCCGUUCCAUAUGUUAGCAUCAGACAUGACUUUUCUAGAUGUUUUAGUAGGUCACUUUUUUCUUAGUGGUACUAAGAUGGAAAUACAUAGCAAGACAAUACCAGCUAAACCCAUUUUUAAAGGUUUGAUGAAUAAGUGCCUAUUUCAUACUACUUAAGGUUCAGAUUGUCCCACAAAGUUUUCUAUGCUUGCCUGACACAGCGAAGAGCUGUAUUAAAAAUGAGAC